AUUUGCCGCCACUCAGUUCUUCUGUAUUGAGAAAAAUCCCUCUUUUAUUAUCCAAUCCAAUUAGGAGUCAAUUAACAGACACCUAAUUUACCUAUACUAUUGAUUGGUCAGCCUCCCUAUGCUUGUAUAAAUAGAGUUAGAGCUCAACAUAUUUUCUCAUUAGUUAAUUUCGUUCGGUGAGGCCGGCAUCUUCAGAGUUCUCCCUUUGGUUUGUAGGUCUAUUAAACCAAGACAACGACUUUCUCGCAUAUUUUGACGGUUAACAUCUACCCAUAUCUAGGAGACCACCUCGAGAACAGAGUGAAGAAAUGAAAAGUCAAGCAACAAAGUGAUGAAA